rnacentral:rRNA from 1 species
AGUGAACGCUGGCGGUAGGCCUAACACAUGCAAGUCGAACGGCAGCACAGUAAGAGCUUGCUCUUACGGGUGGCGAGUGGCGGACGGGUGAGGAAUACAUCGGAAUCUACUUUUUCGUGGGGGAUAACGUAGGGAAACUUACGCUAAUACCGCAUACGACAUACGGGUGAAAGCAGGGGAUCUUCGGACCUUGCGCGAUUGAAUGAGCCGAUGUCGGAUUAGCUAGUUGGCGGGGUAAAGGCCCACCAAGGCGACGAUCCGUAGCUGGUCUGAGAGGAUGAUCAGCCACACUGGAACUGAGACACGGUCCAGACUCCUACGGGAGGCAGCAGUGGGGAAUAUUGGACAAUGGGCGCAAGCCUGAUCCAGCAAUACCGCGUGGGUGAAGAAGGCCUUCGGGUUGUAAAGCCCUUUUGUUGGGAAAGAAAAGCAGCAGGUUAAUACCCCGCUGUUCUGACGGUACCCAAAGAAUAAGCACCGGCUAACUUCGUG